rnacentral:lncRNA from 8 species
CCAGUUGAAAUGGUUUAAAGACCAGAUUCCCCUCCCUACCCCUCUGUUCAGUCCGGCUUUACUGGACUAUAUAUAUAUAUAUAUAACACGGGUCAAAUGGAAACCAUCCUGUUCAUUUUACAACUACCGGUUUGAUUUGGGCUUUAGUCCCCCGUCCCGUCCCGUCCCGUCCCGUCCCCCCGUCCACUCCUAGUUUAGCUGAAGUACACUUCAUUAUAUGGCAUCGUAUGUGUGUGUAGCCUAGUAGACGGGAUAAUAUCCGUGAGGAGAGAUGGGCUGGUCGCUCUGGGAACAAGUUUACAGGAUACUGACAAGGAUUGUUGUCCACGGGAGAGAGAGAGAGAGGGGGAGAGAGAGGGGGGAGAGAGAGAGAGAAGAGAGAGAGAGGGGGAGAGAGAGAGAGACAGAGGGAGAGAGAGAGAGAAAGACAGACAGAGAGAGAGAGAGAGAGAGAGAGAGGGGGAGAGAGAGAGAGACAGAGAGAGAGAGACAGAGGGAGAGAGAGAGAGAGAGAGGGAGAGAGAGAGAGAGAGAGAGAGAGAGAGACAGAGGGAGAGAGAGAGAGAGAGGGGGAGAGAGAGAGAGAGAGGGAGAGAGAGAGAGAGAGGGCGCUUUGAAACUGUGUCGUGGGAGAAAAAUAGCACUCAGUGGACUAGUGGUAGAGAGGGAGAGAGCUGUGAAACUAUGUCGUGAGAGAAGAAGAGAGCGCAGUAGGGACAGCGACACGACCCUCCGACCCACCCCGGAGGAACGAACUCUUCCCCGGGCACAGUGCUGUUAGGAGGCGUGGGCGCGCCGAGCUGGAAGAAAGAAGGGACUCAAUAGUGUCGGAGCUCUUAGCCUGUUUGUCUUGGACUGGGACUGCACCGGGAGAGAAGACAGACGGACAAGACAAGACAAGACAAGACAGACGUUCCACCAUGAGACGUUAGCGACGACCAUCCGUCUAGGCUACCGCCCCGGCACACAACGCACACAGCCACGUCGGACAUCCAGAGCGAAGUCUUCGCAAUGAGUCGCUAAAUUCCUGCUCUCGGAGAGGAGGAGAAGAGGAGGAGAGGAGGAGGAGGAGGAGAGGAGGGCAGCAGAGAGUUUCAUUCAUCUAUCGUCGUGUGUGUGUGUGUGUGUGUGUGUGUGAGAUGGACCGAGUUCCAGCCGUGCUGGCCGUUAAGAUGCGGUGGAUAAUGUUGUUAGUAGUGGGUCUAACGGUCUGGACUACUCUGUCUCACUGCUUCGACUAUGAAGAACCCAGUUUUUACUAUUACAGCGAAGAAGACAGAACGGACAAUAUAGACUACAAAGACCCGUGUAAAGCCGGUGAGUGUUCGCUCAAUUCCUGCUCUACGUUUACUAGCAGUGUGUGUGUGUGUGUGUGUGUGUGUGUGUGUGUGUGUGUGUGUGUGUGUGUGUGUGUGUGUGUGUGUGACCCAUUUAUGCAGUCUACUUUAACCAGAAUGUCCUCGAAGGAACUACAGUAGCCGAUACAGUCAAGUCAUCUUAAGGUAGGAAAGACAAACCAGUCAGGAAAACAUCUCCCCUAAUAUAGACCAAAUGGUAUAACCAGCAAAACAAGUAUCGUUAGCAUAGAAUAGAAUCAGAAUCUAGUCUAAUGAAUUACAGUAAGACAGUGACUAUCUAAUCUAAUGAAUUACAGUAGUACAGUGACUAUCAAGUCUAAUGAAUUACAGUAAAACAGUGACUAUCUAAUCUAAUGAAUUACAGUAAGACAGUUACUAUCAAGUCUAAUGAAUUACAGUAAGACAGUUACUAUCAAGUCUAAUGAAUUACAGUAAGACAGUGACUAUCAAGUCUAAUGAAUUACAGUAGUACAGUGACUAUCAAGUCUAAUGAAUUACAGUAGUACAGUGACUAUCAAGUCUAAUGAAUUACAGUAACACAGUGACUAUCUAAUCUAAUGAAUUACAGUAGUACAGUGACUAUCAAGUCUAAUGAAUUACAGUAGUACAGUGACUAUCAAGUCUAAUGAAUUACAGUAGUACAGUGACUAUCAAGUCUAAUGAAUUACAGUAAAACAGUGACUAUCAAGUCUAAUGAAUUACAGUAGUACAGUGACUAUCAAGUCUAAUGAAUUACAGUAGUACAGUGACUAUCAAGUCUAAUGGAUUACAGUAAGACAGUGACUAUCUAAUCUAAUGAAUUACAGUUAGACAGUUACUAUCAAGUCUAAUGAAUUACAGUAAGACAGUGACUAUCAAGUCUAAUGAAUUACAAUAAGACAGUGACUAUCAAGUCUAAUAAAUUACAGUAAGUACAGUUACUAUCAAGUCUAAUGAAUUACAGUUAGACAGUUACUAUCAAGUCUAAUGAAUUACAGUAAGACAGUGACUAUCAAGUCUAAUGAAUUACAGUAGUACAGUGACUAUCAAGUCUAAUGAAUUACAGUAAGACAGUUACUAUCAAGUCUAAUGAAUUACAGUAAGACAGUGACUAUCAAGUCUAAUGAAUUACAGUAGUACAGUGACUAUCUAAUCUAAUGAAUUACAGUAAGACAGUGACUAUCUAAUCUAAUGAAUUACAGUAAGACAGUGACUAUCAAGUCUAAUGAAUUACAGUAGUACAGUGACUAUCUAAUCUAAUGAAUUACAGUAGUACAGUGACUAUCACGUCUAAUGAAUUACAGUAGUACAGUGACUAUCAAGUCUAAUGAAUUACAGUAGUACAGUGACUAUCAAGUCUAAUGAAUUACAGUAAGACAGUGACUAUCAAGUCAUAUAGUAUAUAUGUGUCACAGCCU